AACGGCCAUAUCGCGUUGAAACAAAGGUUCUCGUACGUUUACCGAAGUUAAGCAACGUCGAGCCUGGUCAGUAACUAGAUAGGUGACCACUUGAUAAUGCCAGGUGCUGUAA